UGGGGAAUAUUGCACAAUGGGCGCAAGCCUGAUGCAGCCAUGCCGCGUGUGUGAAGAAGGCCUUCGGGUUGUAAAGCACUUUCAGCGGGGAGGAAGGCGAUAAGGUUAAUAACCUCAUCGAUUGACGUCACCCGCAGAAGAAGCACCGGCUAACUCCGUGCCAGCAGCCGCGGUAAUACGGAGGGUGCAAGCGUUAAUCGGAAUUACUGGGCGUAAAGCGCACGCAGGCGGUCUGUCAAGUCGGAUGUGAAAUCCCCGGGCUCAACCUGGGAACUGCAUUCGAAACUGGCAGGCUAGAGUCUUGUAGAGGGGGGUAGAAUUCCAGGUGUAGCGGUGAAAUGCGUAGAGAUCUGGAGGAAUACCGGUGGCGAAGGCGGCCCCCUGGACAAAGACUGACGCUCAGGUGCGAAAGCGUGGGGAGCAAACAGG
rnacentral:rRNA from 1 species